AUUGAACGCUGGCGGCAGGCCUAACACAUGCAAGUCGAGCGAGCGGCGGACGGGUGAGUAAUGUCUGGGAAACUGCCUGAUGUAGGGGGAUAACUACUGGAAACGGUAGCUAAUACCGCAUACCAUCAGAUUUGCCCUGAGGUGAUUAGAUUGUAGGUGGGGUAACGGCUCACCUAGGCGCCGAUCCCUAGCUGGUCUGAGAGGAUGACCAGCCACACUGGAACGGAGACACGGUCCAGACUCCUACGGGAGGCAGCAGUGGGGAAUAUUGCACAAUGGGCGCAAGCCUGAUGCAGCUAUGCCGCGUGUGGGAAGAAGGCCUUCGGGUUGUAAAGCACUUUCAGCGGGGAGGCGUUACCCGCAGAAGAAGCACCGGCUAACUCCGUGCCAGCAGCCGCGGUAAUUC
rnacentral:rRNA from 1 species